CCUUCAUCAUGACAACUUCAAAACAAGCAAACACAUUGCAUAUAUUCUGUGAAGCCUAUGUGCAGAUGCAGGUUAGGCCAAUACACAAAUACACAAACCAAGAAUUAUAUUGAGCACUCAAUUCUUGGUAGGAUGGAAGUGAUACUGUGUUUGCUCUGUAAAUAAAUGAUAGGCCUGAACCAUGCUGUUCUCAAAACAGAGAGAAAGAAACUGCAGUCUUAGAAAGAAACUGCAAUGUUCUGUAGAGAUGCACGAUUUGUGACCCGUGCACUCCCUGUCAGUGCCUAGAUUAGUGUUGGAUGGCUGAAUAAGUUCACAUGCAAAUCUCUAAAAAUAAAAUAAAUAUACCUUACUUCUGAUAGCAAAGAACAGAUCUAGGGUUAAUGCAGUGCUGAUGGGAAGCGCCGCCACCACCUCGCCCACUAGUCUCUGCCAUCACCGGCCACUGUCACCAUGGCCGGCACCGGUGGCUCCUCGAGCCACAAGGAAAAGGUAAUACUCCCAUACCACUACCCGAAUCCCCAUGCCCACUGGAUCAACGGAUCCUAUCAAUGGUAUCAGCCCAGGUUGGCGUUAUGGAUUUUAGGUAGCAACAGAAAUCCUCCCUCCCCAAAGAACCCUAGAACAGGGCAAAGAAAAAUUCCUCUCCGGAGAAAGUAGCGCCGCCGUUAUGGCCGCGCCGUUCCUCUCGAUCCGGAAGGGCAUCGGCACGCCGAGCCGUCCGGAAGAAGAACCACCGGAGUUAGCCCAAGGGCUCGCCGGAAAAGGAGAAGGGGGGCACCGUAGCCAAACUGCUCGACGGCGGCGCGCUCACCGCGAGGUAGACGCGCAGCCGGCGAGGGGGAAGGCCACGGUGCCCCGUCGAAACCUCCGCCGUAGUCGUCGUCCAGAUCGAAAAAGAGGAGGCGUUGGUGGUGGAGACACAGAGGAGAGGACAUGAGGAAAUGGGGGGAGGAGAGGGUGGCGCGCAGCGCGGUGUCUUCGGGUCGUCGUCGCGGGCGGCCAGACUUAGCUCGUCGGUGGCCUCUGCCCCCGGCCGCGGAGACAGAUCGGAGGACGGCCUGCCCUCUCUGCAAUAGGAAAGAGAAGGGGAACAUGAGGAAAGAGAAGCGGCCAGGCUCGCGCGGUGGUGGACGCCAUCGCCGGCGGCUCGACCGGACCGGCGUGGCGCGGUCGCCCGGCGACCGGGAAAGCGUCGGGUCGAGAGAGGAUGAACGGCGCGAGAGAAAAGAAUGGGGGCGCUAGGUUUCGGUUCUGGGACUCUUUCCUGUUUUUGUUCGAGCGAGAACGACGAUCCACCUUCCGACCGCGUUGAACGGUUUGGAUUAAAACCCUAGCCUCCCCACUGGCCUUUUGGGCCGAAAGUGAUCGUGGGCUAGGCCGAGGAAGGCCGGCUCGCGCGGCCUGGCGCGGGAAGCAGGCCAUGGGCCGCUUCCUCCGCUGAGGGCCUUGAGCGCUGGGCCUGGCCGCAGCUGCGUGCUGCGCCGUGGCCGUAGCAGCGCGCUGGACCGAGGCCAGCAGCCUUGCGCGCUGGACCAAGGCAGGGCCAGUUCAUUUUGUACAGUUUCCUUUUUCUACUCAAAAAAAUUUCCAACGAAAAUUCUCUUUAGAAAAUAUAUAAAAGAAAAAAGUAGAACAGUUUCUAAAAAUGAAAAUAAAAAAAUUUCAGAAAAAUAAACGUUCAUGAAUUUAGUUGGCAAGAAGAAAAGUUUAUGUAAACAAUAAAAGUGCACUUUUAAAAGAAAAGAAAAUUUUUCUGUAAAGAAUAAUAGGUUCAUGAAUUUUCUAUUCAUGUUUUUUCCGCUGCAAAUAAAAAUAAAAGUGCUCCUUUAAAAGUGAAUAGAACUAAAAUAGAAGAUGAAAUUGUUGCUUCUCUAAUGCUUUUUUGAACCAAUUGGUUAAAAUUACUUAGAGAGUAAAAGAGUACAUAAUUGUUUCUGCAUAGAAUAUUAAAAGUUUCUGCUGCAAAGAAAAAGUUUUAUCCUCCAAUUAAAUUGGAACCAAGGGGAAAAUUUAAUUGGAAAAACUGUUCUUAGCAAUGUUUUCCCUUGUGGGUGAAAUCAGAUUCAGAUAGCUUCCGCUAUGACAAAAGAAAGAUAUUUGUUUUAAAGUUAAAAUAUGGUAUUGUUAUUUUCUAACCAACGUUGAUGAUAAUAGUACUAUAAUUCUAUGAGUCUUAUGUUCAAUGCUUAAAUCUCUGAUAAAUUUUGUAUCAAAGUGAUCAAUUUUCAGAGAACAGUUAAAGAUAAAGAAAUGCUCUUGAACUAGAGAAAUGUAUAUUUCUUGUUUCCGCUGCAAUAAAGUUGAUGAUGAUUAUUAUUUCUGAGCAAAGUUGUUUAAUAGAAAUACUAUCAUCACAUUGUUUAUGAGUUAUAUGCAUUAUUUCCAUUUCCGCCCAAUGAUGAUAUGGAAUUAAUGUAGAAGAAUGAGUUUUAUUCUAAUUCUACCACAACGGUGAUUUAGAGUAUAAAAAGGAAGUUUUGCAAAAGUUUAAUGUGCAUAUUUUUUAACCAGACCAACAUAGGGUGUAGCGACCAGACCUCAAACAGUCUGAUCUCUGUGCUUCGGUGUCAUCCCUGGAUCAUUAAUGCUAACACCACACAGUACUCGGAGGAUUUAUAACAGAGUAGCAAUCACACACUUAUUACAUCGAGUGUCUCCAUAGAGAACUUAUUACAAUAAAUAUGGCUUAAGGCCAUCUAUAACGAUAACAGCGGAAGGCUUAGAAGAUAAGUGAGUGCAUCAACUCCAACGACAUCACUGAGUAUAGAAUCACGACUUAAAAACUCGUUAAUCGUCGUCUGAAAAGUCUGCAACAUUAACGUUGCAGCCCUAAACGGGUCGGCACAUGAAAUAUGCUGGCAAGGUAACACAUAGAGAAUAAUGGAAUGAAAUAGCUAUACUAUAUGCCUAUUUGGCUGGUGGAAAGCUCUAUGGUUACAGUUUUGCGAAAAGCCAAUUUUUCCCUACUAUAAAGGAAUAAAUUUAAUUACUAUCAUGGUGGUUGUUAAACAUUGAGAAUGGUUGACAGCAUUCUCAAUCCCAAUUAAGCAUCAUCAUUAAACAAAGCCCAACAAUUAAUUUAGGAUAACAUGUUGAGAUUCACAUGAAAAUCCAGGUACUAGAUGCUCAAGAUGUCCAUAACCGGGGACACGGCUAACCAUGAUUAGUUUAUUACACUCUGCAGAGGUUUGCGCACUUUUCCCCACAAGACUCGAUCGCUUCCGUUUGGUUUCUCGCACUACAUGGUAUUUGAGAAGACGGAUGACCGAGACAUAGUAUUUCAGAAGCGCUAGCACCUUACGAUCGGGUAGACCGUACCACCUACAUCCCCUACAUCUGCUAGUCUACCACUGUAAGAGUUCGCACUACUUAGUCAACUAUGCUAGAGCCCAUAAUAGCUUGUGGCUGCACAUGGAAGUUUCUAGUAUGAAUAGUCUCAUGAUCCCUUUGAGCCUGGGUGGCGGUCCAAAAGAAAACAAGCAAGUCCUGGAAUACCCAGGUGCCUCAAUCCACCCAGAUGUGUGUUUAAGUUGCCACCUUAGAUAAACCAUUAAUUAACAAUCUCACAUCUAUCAUGGAUAUCACUCACCCAAUCCACGUCUACUAGCAUAGCAUGGCAUAAUAAGCAAACGUAGAAGUAACUCCCAAAAGUUUGAUAAUAAAUAGGUAAUAGGUACUACCUCAACUACUUCCCACCCCACAAUUUAAUUAGAUCCUAAUCAUGCAAUGUGUGAGGAUGGAUCUAAUGCAAUAAAACUGGGUAGUAGGAAAGGUAUGAUCAAAGUGUUAUUUGCCUUGCUGAUGAUCCGGGAAACCUAGCGAUUCGAAGUAACAAGCGGCGCACUCCGGGUACUCUAUCGCAAACAAACAAACAAGCAUACAAUAAGUACUCAUCUAAUGCAUGGGUAAAACUAAAAUAAGAGAUCUAACCAGAAGGUUCAACUUAAGAACUCCGGUUUGCAAAAAGAGUCAAAUCGAACGGAGCAACGAAAGUCAAACGGCGAAAGAAAACAACUUCGUUCUACUAAUCUGGAUCUAGGGCAAACUUUACAGUAGCAAAACUUGUUUAAGUUGAUUAAACGGAUAGUGGGUUUCGAGACAAAACUCCAGGCGCUUGAAUCGCCUGAUUCCGAUAAACGAGCGAAAAGUUAUACUAUAAGAAAAUCGGAUCAGGAAUCGCGAUCAAAAAAAUCGCGGAUUAAAUUCGAGAAAAGAAAAACGACGAACGUUCGCUAGAACGAACAAAUGAACGCUCGCUAUUUAAAUAAACCGAAAAGAAACCGAUCUAUUUAAAAAAAACCAAAACAAAAAAACAGACGAAAAACCGAAAGGUUUUUUGAAAAAAAAUAAAAAAAAACGGCGCGGAAAACUAGGCGGCGGCGGACCUCGGGCGGCGUGCGGCGGCGGCGGGCGCUGGGGCGGCGGGAGGCGCUGGGGGCGGCUAGGGUUUGGUUGGGGCUGGGCCUCUCGCCCCCCGGCUUAUAUAUCCUAACGGGCCGGGAGUCCUAGUCGGACACGACCAUAGGUCGGUUCGUUUUUUUUAUAUAUUACGCGCAGAAGAAAAAAAAUAAAAAGAAAUACUAAACGGACUCUAAAAAUUCCAAAAUAAAUUUUUACGGGCUUCUAAAAUCAAGCCGCACAAGGUGAACAUUUAUUUGGGGCCUAAAUACAAUUUUGAAAAAUGCACAUUUUUCCUAAAUUCAAAUAAAAUAACAAAAAACUUCGAAAUAAAAUCUUAUUUGAUUUUAUUAUUAAAUCCUCAAUAUUUAUUUAUUUUGGGAAAGUCAUUUUAUUCCCUCUCUCAUAUUUUUGUAAUAGAAAUAAUUGAUGAUAAAAUAAAUAAAAUCAAAUGAUCCUAUUCUCAAAAUUUGAGAAAACUCAAAUAUGAAAAUAAUGAAAUCCCCAACUCUCUCCGUGGGUCCUUGAUUUGCGUAGAAUUUCUAGGAUCAACCAAAAUGCAAAAUAAAAUAUGAUAUGCAUAGAUGAUCUAAUGUAUAACAUUCCAAAUUGAAAAUUUGGGAUGUUACAAACCUACCCCCCUUAAGAUGAAUCUCGCCCACGAGAUUCGGGUUGGCUAGAAAAUAGGUGAGGGUGGUCCUUGAGCAAAUCUUCCUCUCGCUCCCAGGUGGCUUCAUCCUCCGUGUGGUUGCUUCACUGAAUUUUGCAAAACUUGAUAACCUUGCUGCGAGUGACUCGGCUAGCAAACUCGAGGAUCUUAAUUGGUUUCUCCUCGUAGGUCAAAUCGUUAUCCAACUGAAUUGUUUCCAACGGCACUGUGUCUCUCAAGGGUAUGUCAGCCAUCUCAGCGUGACACUUCUUCAACUGGGAAACGUGGAACACAUCAUGAACUCCUGACAAUCCUUCAGGCAAUUCCAACCUGUAGGCCACUUCUCCCAUACGCUCCAAAACUCGAUAUGGUCCUACAAAUCGUGGCGCUAACUUUCCCUUAACUCCAAAAUGCUUUGUUCCCCGAAGUGGAGAUACUCGAAGAUAAGCUCUAUCUCCAACUUCGUAAACUGUCUCCUUCCAUUUCGAAUCUGCAUAACUCUUCUGUCUGGACUGGGCUAUCUUGAGCCUGUCGCGAAUCAACUUUACCUUCUGUUCAGACUCUUUAAUCAAGUCAGGUCCAAACAACUGGCGAUCUCCAACUUCGUCCCACGACAACGGUGUCCUGCACCUCCUUCCAUACAAAGCUUCGAAAGGGGCCAUCUUUAAACUGGUUUGAUAACUGUUGUUGUAAGAGAACUCUGCAUAUGGGAAAUUGUCGUCCCAACUAGAUCCAUAAUCUAGCGCACAAGCUCUCAGCAUAUCCUCCAAAAUCUGAUUGACUCUCUCGGUCUGUCCAUCUGUCUGUGGAUGAAAAGUUGUACUGAAUUCUAGCCUGGUACCCAAAGUUUCAUGCAACUGCUUCCAGAACUUUGAGGUAAAUUGGGUUCCUCUGUCUGAUACGAUACUCCUCGGAACUCCAUGCAAACAUACGAUCCUGGUCAUGUAUAUUUUUGCCAACAUAGUACUGGUGUAAGUGGUCUUUACCGGGAUGAAAUGAGCUACUUUCGUCAACCGAUCGACUAUAACCCAAAUCGAGUCAUAGCCUGAACGAGUCCUGGGUAAUCCUAUGAUAAAAUCCAUGCCUAACUUAUCCCACUUCCAUUCGGGUAUCGGUAAUGGUUGUAACAAUCCUGCUGGCUUCUGAUGCUCUGCCUUUACUCUCUGACAUACAUCACAGACUGCUACAUACUCCGCAAUAUCCUUCUUCAUUCCGGUCCACCAGAAAAUAUCCUUAAAAUCCAAAUACAUCUUGGUAUUUCCUGGGUGAAUCGAAUAUGGUGAAUAGUGUGCCUCUUGCAGAAUCAACUUCCUAAUCUCCGGGUCAUUGGGCACAUAAACACGGUCUUCAAACCAUAGGGUGUCGUGCUCAUCCUCACGAAAUCCUUUAGCCUUUCAUUUGCUCAGUUUCUCCUUAAGAGAGGCAAUCUCCUUGUCAGUCUUCUGAGCUUCUCUGAUUCUAUCCAUCAAGGUUGACUGAAUCUCCAAUGCUGCUACAUAGCCUCUAGGAACUAUUUCCACACAUAGUUCAUGAAGAUUUUCUUCUAACUCCCUUGGUAUUCCUCCCGUCAUUAAUGUAUUGACGUGGCUCUUACGGCUUAAUGCGUCAGCUACUACAUUAGCCUUUUCGGGAUGAUAAUGCAAUCUCAUAUCAUAAUCCUUGAUGAGCUCCAACCAUCUCCUCUGUCCGAGGUUUAACUCCUUCUGCGUGAAAAUGUAUUUCAAACUCUUAUGAUCCGUGUACACCUCACAAUGAUUUCCAAUGAGGAAAUGUCUCCAUGUUUUCAAUGCAUGCACUACAGCUGCUAACUCUAAAUCAUGCGUAGCAUAAUUCAACUCAUGAGGUUUCAGUUGUCUUGAGACAUAUGAAACAACUCUCCCUUCCUGCAUAAGCACUGCUCCAAGUCCUCGACGUGAAGCGUUGCAAUACACCUCAUAAUCCUUGGUCUGGUCUGGCAAAAUCAACACUGGUGAAGUAACCAAACGUUUCUUCAACUCCUGGAAACUAGCCUCACAUUCCUCCGUCCAUAUGAACUUGGUAUCUUUCUUCAACAACUCCAUGAUAGGCUUCGCAAUCUUUGAGAAAUUCUCAAUAAAUCUCCGGUAGUAUCCCGCGAGUCCCAGAAAACUCCGUAUCUCUCCAACCAUGGUCGGUGCUUCCUAUUUGGUCACGAUAUCAACUUUAGCGGGAUCUACUGCUAUUCCUUCUCCGGAUAUAACGUGUCCGAGGAAUCCUACUUCCUUCAACCAAAACUCACAUUUUCUAAACUUGGCAUAUAAUUGAUGUUCUCUGAGCUUUCCAAGUACCAAACGCAAAUGCUCCUUAUGCUCCUCUUCAUUCUUCGAGUAAACCAUGAUAUCAUCAAUGAACACCACGACGAACUUAUCCAAAAACUCCAUAAACACUUUGUUCAUCAUGUUCAUAAAAUAUGCAGGUCCGUUAGUCAGACCAAAUGACAUAACGGUAUACUCGUACAACCCAUACCUGGUGGUAAAAGCUGUCUUAGGAAUAUCAUGUUCUCGAAUCUUCAAUUGGUGGUACCCUGAUCACAAAUCGAUCUUGGAAAAUACCUUAGCUCCUUGCAAUUGAUCAAACAGAUCAUUGAUCAUUGGUAGUGGGUACUUGUUCUUGAUUGUUACUUCAUUCAAUCCUCGAUAAUCAACAACCAUCCUUAACGAUCCAUCCUUCUUCUCCACUAGAAGUACUGGCGAUCCCCAAGGCGAAGAACUUGGGCGAAUAUAUCCUUUAUCCAGUAACUCCUUAAUCUGCUUCUUAAUUUCCACCAAAUCCUUUGCUGGCAUCCUAUAUGGUCUCUUUGAUAUUGGCCCUGUGCCUGGCAAUAGCUCAAUCAAAAACUCAAUAUCUCUAUCCAGUGGCAUGCCUGGCAACUCUUCUGGAAAUACUUCAGGGAAAUCCCUUACCACUGGUACUUCCUCCUGCACAGCUCCUGUUAAGCAAUUUACUGGUGUCCUCUUUGGCACAUGUCGGGAUACAUACUUGAUCCUUCUCCCUUCUGGUGUGGUAAGCAAAAUUGACUUACUAGCACAUUCAAUAUUCCCUUCAUACUUUGAUAACCAAUCCAUGCCUAAUAUCACAUCCAAUCCUUGGGAUUCCAAUACUAUUAGGUCUGAGGGAAAAACAUAGUUACCAAUCCUUAAUGGUAACUGAUCACACCAUCGACUAGCCAUAUACUCUGCUCCAGGCGAGGUUACUAACAUGGGUGACCUAAGGGCUUGGGUUGACAGUUUAUACUUAUCCACAAAUCCCCUUGAGAUGUAUGAAUGCAAUGCGCCAGUAUCAAAAAGAACGAGUGCAGUAAAUGACUUAACCAAAAACUUACCUAUUACUGCAUCAUGCUGAGCUUCAACCUCCUCCACAUUAACGUGGUUCACCUGUCCCCUGUUGAAAGGGUCCGGCUUCUUCCCAGAGCUUCCAUUGCCAUUUCCAUUUUGUAAUUCAGGACAUUCAUUGGCAUAAUGUCCGGUCUUCGAACACUUAAAGCAAGUGACUUGGCUCAGGUCUUUCUUGGCUGGGGUUGAUGGGUUGGUGCGAUUCUGGCCGUUGCUUCCUCCAUUACCAUUACCAUUCCUGGUGCCAUUGUGAUUGUGUGAGCUACCUCCUCCAUGGGUAUGCUGAAAAUGUCCUCCCGGUCUAGGGGUAAAACGUGGCUUCUGCUGAGCUCCUGAAUUGUAUUUCCCUUGUCCAUACUUCCUCUUGUGGUUCUUAAUUUGCUACUGCUUGCCUUCAAUCAUAAGAGCAUGAUCUACCAACUCCUGAUAGUUGUUGAAGGUUGCUACCAUCAACUGCAUGCUCAACUCAUCAUUCAGUCCUUCUAGAAACUUCUCCUGCUUUGCUGCAUCCGUAGCAACAUCAUCUGGGGCAUAACGUGCUAACUUACUACGGUCCUCCACAUACUGGCCAACUGUCCGUCCUCCUUGGUGCAAGUUGCGGAACUCACGCUUCUUCAUGGCCAUAGCUCCUGCUGAAACAUGGGCAGUACGAAAGGCCUGUUGAAACUGGUCCCAUGUGACAGUGUCGACAGGGAAAGUGGCUGUGAAAUUCUCCCACCAUGAUGCUGCGGGUCCUUCAAGCUGAUGUGCGGCAAACUUCACCUUCUCUGCAUCCGUGCAUCCUACUGUGGUCAACUCUCUAGCUGUCUUGCGGAGCCAAUCAUCUGCUACUAUCGGCUCGGUGCUACUGGAAAACACCGGUGGAUUCAGCCUAAGAAAACGCGCUAAGUGAUCAACAGGUGGUGGUGGUGGUGGGUUGUUGUUGUUGUUCCCCUGAUUCUGAUUCUGGACUAGCAACUGCAUCAAUGUGUUCUACUGCUGGAUCAACUAUGUGAGCUCUGGUGGAAAGGAAAAUCCGGGGUCAUGUCUCGGAGGCAUCUGAGGGUUUAGAAAAGAUGAGAUGUAAGAAUAGAGGGGUCUAAAGAGAAAACACUACCCAUAUGCACAUGAGGCAAAAGCAAACAAUUCACUUCAUUCAAUCAAACAAGGGCAUACAAUCGAUGUAACUAUCGCAAAAGUGCUCGGACUACUAUAUUUACAUGGUGGACUACUACUACUGAUGAGGUGGUCUACUAGAAAUAUUCUUCAGUUGCAGACUCCAUGAUAUCUGCUCCAGCUUCGUCAACAUAAUCAUCAUCGCUAUCGUCUGGAUUCGAAUUCUGUGUCGUCGAUGAUGAUGUAGUCUUCCGGGCGAAUCUCCUUGGGUUCUUCAUCUUCAUCUACUGGUGUAGGGCCUCCCAUAAAUAUCCCGAUCUUCUUUGUUAGGUCGGCAUUCUUAUCCACUAAUACUUCAAUUUCCUCUUCAUAAUUUUCACGUGUAGCCUUGAGUUCUUCCUCCAGUUCCUUGAUUAUUGUCUUAGCCUUCUUCAGAUCUAUCAUGUCGGCGCACAUCUGGUUUUCCUGUCGUCGAAUGUGAUGGUUUAAGUCCUGGAUAAAAGCAGCAAUUGAUCUAUCCUUCCGGGUGCUGAUCAUCUCCCAGUGCUCAUCUCGGCGUCCACAAAUCUGGUAGAUAGUAUCCUUGAGAUCAUUGUGGUAGACUUCUCCAAUGUGUCCCAUGGCGAUGUGAGCUGCCAUGCUCUUUCCUAGACUCCAAGUUGGUGCAUCAAAAGAAAACUCUAUGGGCUCAGUGACUGGCAUGAACGUCCUUCCUGAAACUUGAACUUGAAUCAUCCAGCGCUCUUCUUCAGGUAAAGUGGCGUUGUAGGUUCCGGUGAAGCUUGGUACUCCUAUGUUCAGGUAUCUAGUGACUUCCUUCAAGUGUCGUCCAAAGGGUGUAUCUUCAUUCGGUUGCGUGAACUUGUUCCUUGCAUCCGCCAUCCUAAAAGAGUAAAAAAGAUGAGGAGUCAGAAGACAAGAGGGUGAAUAGUGUUCUAGAUCUUUAGCUUAAUGGUCGUGUCCUACAGUCAGCGUGUGCUCUGAUACCAUCUCUAUAGCAACCACACCUCAAACAGUCUGAUCUCUGUGCUCUGGUGUCAUCCCUGGAUCAGUAAUGCUGACACCACACAGUACGCGGAGGAUUUAUAACAGAGUAGCAAUCACACACUUAUUACAUCGAGUGUCUCCAUAGAGAACUUAUUACAAUAAAUAUGGCUUAAGGCCAUCUAUAACGAUAACAGCGGAAGGCUUGGAAGAUAAGUGAGUCCAUCAACUCCAACGGCAUCACUGAGUAUAGAACCACGACCUAAAAACUCCUUAAUCGUCGUUUGAAAAGUCUGCAACAUUAACGUUGCAGCGCGAAACGGGUCAGCACAUGGAAUAUGCUGGCAAGAUAACACAUAGAGAAUAAUGGAAUGAAACAGCUAUACUAUAUGCAUAUUUGGCUGGUGGAAAGCUCUAUGGUUACAGUUUUGCGAAAAGCCAAUUUUUCCCUACUACAAAGGAAUAAAUUUAAUUACUAUCAUGGUGGUUGUUAAACAUUGAGAAUGGUUGACAGCAUUCUCAAUCCCAAUUAAGCAUCAUCAUUAAACAAAGCCCAACAAAAUUAAUUUAGGGUAACAUGUUGAGAUUCACAUGAAAAUCCAGGUACUAGAUACUCAAGAUGUCCAUAACCGGGGACACGGCUAACCAUGAUUAGUUUAUUACACUCUGCAGAGGUUUGCGCACUUUUCCCCACAAGACUCGAUCGCCUCCGUUUGGUUUCUCGCACUACAUGGUGUUUGAGAAGACGGAUGACCGAGACAUAGUCUUUCAGAAGCGCUAGCACCUUACGAUCGGGUAGACCAUACCACCUACAUCCCCUACAUCUGCUAGUCUACCACUGUAAGAGUUCGCAUGACUUAGUCAACUAUGCUAGAGCCCAUAAUAGCUUGUGGCUGCACACGGAACUUUCUAGUAUGAAUAGUCUCAUGAUCCCUUUGAGCCUGGGUGGCGGUCCAAAAGAAAACAGGCAGUCCAAAAGAAAACAGGCAAGUCCUGGAAUACCCAGGUGCCUCAGUCCACCCAGAUGUGUGUUUAAGUUGCCACCUUAGAUAAACCAUUAAUUAACAAUCUCACAUCUGUCAUGGAUAUCACUCACCCAAUCCACGUCUACUAGCAUAGCAUGGCAUAAUAAGCAAACGUAGAAGUAACUCCCAAAGGUUUGAUAAUAAACAGGUAAUAGGUACUACCUCAACUACUUCCCACCCCACAAUUUAAUUAGAUCCUAAUCAUGCAAUGUGUGAGGAUGGAUCUAAUGCAAUAAAACUGGGUAGUAGGAAAGGUAUGAUCAAAAUUUUACAGUAGCAAAAACUUGUUUAAGUUGAUUAAACGGAUAGAGGGUUUCGAGACGAAACUCCAGGUGCUUGAAUCGCCUGAUUCCGACAAACGAGCGAAAAGUUAUACUAAAAAAAAUCGGAUCAGGAAUCACGAUAAGAAAAAUCGUGGAUUAAAUCCGAGAAAAGAAAAAUGACGAACGUUCGCUAGAACGAACGAACGGACGAACGCUCGCUAUUUAAAUAAACCGAAAAAACCGAUCUAUUUAAAAAAAACUGAAACAAAAAAAACCGACGAAAAAACCAAACGGUUUUUCGAAAAAAACAAAAAACAACCGGCACAGAAAACGAGGCGGCGACGGACCUCGGGCGUCGUGCGGCGGCGGCGGGCGCUGGGGCGGCGGGCGGCGCUGGGGGCGGCUAGGGUUUGGCUGGGGCUGGGCCUCUCCCCCCCGGCUUAUAUAUCCUAACGGGCCGGGAGUCCUAGUCGGACACGAUCCUAGGUCGGUUCGUUUUUUUAUAUAUUACGCGCGGAAGAAAAAAAUAAAAAGAAAUACUAAACAGACUCCAAAAAUUCCGAAAUAAAUUUUUAGGGGCUUCUAAAAUCAAGCCGCACAAGGUGAACAUUUAUUUAGGGCCUAAAUGCAAGUUUGAAAAACGCACAUUUUUCCUAAAUUCAAAUAAAAUAACGAAAAACCGAAAUAAAAUCUUAUUUGAUUUUAUUAUUAAAUCCUCAAUAUUUCUUUAUUUUGGGAAAGUCAUUUUAUUUGCUCUCUCAUAUUUUUGUAAUAGAAGUAAUUGAUGAUAAAAUAAAUAAAAUCAAAUGAUCUUAUUCUCAAAAUUUGAGAAAACUCAAAUACGAAAAUAAUGAAAUCCCCAACUCUCUCCGUGGGUCUUUGAGUUGCGUAGAAUUUCUAGGAUCAACCAAAAUGCAAAAUAAAAUAUGAUAUGCAUAGAUGAUCUAAUGUAUAACAUUCCAAAUUGAAAAUUUGGGAUGUUACAUAGGGUUAUUUUUAUGCUCAUUAUUGUUGAUUAUUAGCUAAGUUCUCUCAAACUAAAAGUUUUCCAUGCUUUCAUUCAUGAAAGCGAAUGGUUGGGUACUUGUGACCCAAAAGAUGAUCAAGAAAGGUCAUAACGUGAGAUAGUAUGUUCUCUCUAAAGAAUGGUUUCAAAAGAAAAGAGAUUGAUCAUUGAGAGUCUUGGUUGACGAAUGUCUUUCAUGUACUCUCUAUGAUUUCAGAUAAAACAAGCAACAUGCGUGUUUAAUUUGACCAACGUCGGAUCAAGCAUGUGUGUCAAAGAGCAUUAGGAUUUAUUCCUAAAUUUGAUGAUUGAAUAAUGCAGUCAAAAGAGCCAAUUCUGGCAUUUAUGUCCCUUACAAGGAAUUACCCGCAUGGCGGAAAAAGAUGAUUAUGAUAAAACCCGCAUGGCAGGAAAAGUCUGGGAAAAUACGUGUGUAACGGGGUAAACUUGACAUAAUAUUAUGUCAAAAUCUCUUAUGGAGGGAGAAAUUCUGGCAAAGGACUUAUCCUGUAUGAUAGGAGAAAGAUAUGAUGACUCAUGUGCUUUUAAUGUGUCCCACUCUGGGAGAAAAGUAUGGAGUAGCUAUUAUGCUUUCCUAGUAUCGACUGUACACCUUGUGUGAACGGUCAUUAACCACUCAAUAAAUCCAAAGAGAAUAAAAGUGAGAGACGAACCUAAAGAUAAGAUUGAUAUGCAAGUGUGACUUGCAAAAGUACUAAUAAUAAAGAACUUUGUUGAGUUUCUAAAAUGGAAUGAGGAAAAAGUACUCCCAUAUCAGUUAACAGAUAACUUCAUUUCGCAUGAAGUAAUCAGAUGAAUGAAAUAUAUUGAAGUUUCCUCAAUUCACAAAAGUUAUGAAUGGUUUUCGAAAUUGUGGCAGAAAGAAAUAUUAGAUAAAUUAAGAAUGAUGAAACUCCCCUAUACUUUAGAUGAUGUGAUGCACAUUAUGCAUCUAAAGUGAUCCAUUAAUGAAGAAUGUGAUCGUCUGGGGGAGUACGACGGUCGGAAUAAUACCCCUAAAGAACAGAAAUAGUUGUAUUCCUAGAUCUUUUAUAGUUUCGACAGCAGACUAAGGAAUACUAAGGCGGUGCUUAAAAGUGCUAUAAAGAAGAAAGUUUUAACAGAAUAAACCCAAAUAAUAAAGUUUAAAGAUACCCCAUUUUAGUGAAGAUGGAGUAAUCUGGGGGAGCAUGGUAUGAAAAUACCAAAGACUAUAGAAUAAAUUUGCCUCUUGGCAAUGACAGAGCAACAACAGCCACAUAUGAAAGAAGUGCCAGUACCUGAGACACAGAUGGUCUCAAGGAAUGAGAAAAUCUGAUACUUCUGAUUACUAUAAAGUCUAUGUUAGCGAAAUUCAAAUGGAGAUUGAGUCCACCUCAUUUAAAGUGCUCAAUCGAGCUUUGAGAAGUGUAUGUUUGUCUAAAUGAUAAGAGACUAUAUGAGAUGAAAUAAAAUUGGUGAAUCCCAAUGAUGUUUGGGACUCAUAAGUAAUUUCCAAUGGUGCAUAAACAGUAGGCUAUAAAAGGUCUACAAGGUCAAUGUGUUUCCAAAGGAAAGAUUUUGUGCAAAGAGAAUGAAUAGAUUACAAUGAGUGUUAGUGGCACAUCAUGAUCGACAUCAUGAUCUGAGUUACAUCAGAUGAAACUAAAGAACACAAGGGAUACUACUUCAAGAAGUUUUUAUGGACUAGAGCAAGUCUCUAGACAGUGGCAUUUAAAGUUAAAAGAAUGAGAUGUUAUUUUGGGUUAAAGAAAAUGAGAGGACAAUUGUAUUCAUGGAAAGUUAUAGAAUAGGAAAUUCAUCCUAAUCCUGUGCAUGUGGAUGGCGUCCUACUUGCUAGUGGUCAUGUCAAUCUACUGCAGGAGGAAAAAAGAAGUUCUUGUCCUCAAAGUUCAAAAGAAUGUUCUCGGUAGAGUGUCUCUCGUUAUAAUUAUCGAGAUUCACCAAGAAAAGAAUAAAAGGGGGUAUUCGGAAUGUCGCAUGGACAUGCUAAGAAAGGUCUCUAAAGUAUGCAUGCGAGAAAACCUACGCCCGUUCUUAUAGUCAAGGGUAAUGGAACCAGAAACUAUGGUGUUCCAAAAGUUGAUGAGAAAAGAUUGAAAACGGAUAUGGUACCAUAUGCUUCAGCUGUUGGAAGUUUAAUGAAUGCAAAAGUAUGAUUUUACCCUAAUGUAGUUCACGUAUCCGGGUUGUUUUGGCAAUGUCCAGUCCAUAUAUAGACCACUAGAAUGGAGUCAAAGAUAUCGGCCUCAUGCUGAAAGAAAUAAGUUCUCUCAAAAUAUUGUGAGUACAAAGACAGGACUUGUGAAAUGUAUAGCAAAAUCGACAAUUGUCGCUAACUUUCACACUUGGAGUUUUGGUGUGGAAAUGCUCCAAAGAAUGAAACAAUUAUCAUCAAUGUGAUUCAAAUAUAUGUUAUAGCUUGAUAUGAGGCUGAGGGACAGGCAAAAUGGUUAUGAAGACCUGUACCCGGAGUUGAUAAUGGUUGAUAACAACGAUAACCAUUUUAAGCUUUUCGCUCCUAUGACAACGAGUCAAGUGUUGAUGCCAAACACACUGACAUAGAGUUAUGCGUUGUAAAGGAGAAAGUCCGGAAUUAUGUAGAAAUGCUUGAAUUAUAAAAGAAACAGAUAAGUGUUUGUAGAUCUGCUUAUUAAAGGCUUACCGCCCAGUGUGUUCGGAGGACACACAGUCGACAUGGGUUUUAUGGACAAUAAAGGGCCCAAGGUUAAAGAAUUUGUUUCAAAACAGAGAGGUACGUUGUGGCUGUCUGAUUCUAUCGGCAAUUGAGCUGUGACGAUGAAACAUGUUCUAUGUAUUGAUCUGUUAUGAAAUGAGUAAAGUAAAAGUAUAAGGUCAAAAGUAAAAGUUGAGAUCAAGGGGGAGAAUGUUAGGAUGAUCUCCACCGUGUGGGCCCAAUGGCCCACCGGGCCCUUAGAUCCGCGCCCUAAUCGGGGCGCUCAACCCACUAUGGUUGACGGCCCCCUGUCACCUGCACUAUAUAAAGAGAUGGGGGUCAGCGGCUCGCACCACGAGGUUCGUCGCAACGCGGUACACCCCACCUAAUCCCCUACCGAUCUAGGGUUAGUGCAGUGCUGAUGGGAAGCGCCGCCACCACCUUGCCCACUACUCUCUGCCAUCACCGGCCACUGUCACCAUGGCCGGCCCCGGUGGCUCCUCGAGCCACAAGGAAAAG
rnacentral:lncRNA from 1 species